rnacentral:rRNA from 1 species
CCUACGGGAGGCAGCAGUGGGGAAUAUUGGGCAAUGGAGGAAACUCUGACCCAGCGACGCCGCGUGCGGGAUGAAGGCCUUCGGGUUGUAAACCGCUUUCAGUAGGGAAGAAGCGAAAGUGACGGUACCUACAGAAGAAGCACCGGCUAACUAUGUGCCAGCAGCCGCGGUAAUACAUAGGGUGCAAGCGUUGUCCGGAAUUAUUGGGCGUAAAGAGCUCGUAGGUGGUUCGUCACGUCGGAUGUGAAAAUCUGGGGCUCAACCCCAGACCUGCAUUCGAUACGGGCGAUCUAGAGUGUGGUAGGGGAGACUGGAAUUCCUGGUGUAGCGGUGGAAUGCGCAGAUAUCAGGAGGAACACCAAUGGCGAAGGCAGGUCUCUGGGCCAUUACUGACACUGAGGAGCGAAAGCGUGGGGAGCGAACAGGAUUAGAUACCCUGGUAGUCCACGCCGUAAACGGUGGGCACUAGUUGUGGGAACCUUCCACGGUUUCUGCGACGCAGCUACGCAUAAGUAGCCCGCCGUCGGGAGGUACGANCGCGAAGAAUUAAACUAACAAAGAAGUAGUAGACGCGAGAGACGCGACGACGACGACGACGGAGGAGGAG